CGCUGGCGGCGUGCCUAAUACAUGCAAGUCGAACGCUUCUUUUUCCACCGGAGCUUGCUCCACCGGAAAAAGAGGAGUGGCGAACGGGUGAGUAACACGUGGGUAACCUGCCCAUCAGAAGGGGAUAACACUUGGAAACAGGUGCUAAUACCGUAUAACAAUCGAAACCGCAUGGUUUUGAUUUGAAAGGCGCUUUCGGGUGUCGCUGAUGGAUGGACCCGCGGUGCAUUAGCUAGUUGGUGAGGUAACGGCUCACCAAGGCCACGAUGCAUAGCCGACCUGAGAGGGUGAUCGGCCACAUUGGGACUGAGACACGGCCCAAACUCCUACGGGAGGCAGCAGUAGGGAAUCUUCGGCAAUGGACGAAAGUCUGACCGAGCAACGCCGCGUGAGUGAAGAAGGUUUUCGGAUCGUAAAACUCUGUUGUUAGAGAAGAACAAGGAUGAGAGUAACUGUUCAUCCCUUGACGGUAUCUAACCAGAAAGCCACGGCUAACUACGUGCCAGCAGCCGCGGUAAUACGUAGGUGGCAAGCGUUGUCCGGAUUUAUUGGGCGUAAAGCGAGCGCAGGCGGUUUCUUAAGUCUGAUGUGAAAGCCCCCGGCUCAACCGGGGAGGGUCAUUGGAAACUGGGAGACUUGAGUGCAGAAGAGGAGAGUGGAAUUCCAUGUGUAGCGGUGAAAUGCGUAGAUAUAUGGAGGAACACCAGUGGCGAAGGCGGCUCUCUGGUCUGUAACUGACGCUGAGGCUCGAAAGCGUGGGGAGCAAACAGGAUUAGAUACCCUGGUAGUCCACGCCGUAAACGAUGAGUGCUAAGUGUUGGAGGGUUUCCGCCCUUCAGUGCUGCAGCUAACGCAUUAAGCACUCCGCCUGGGGAGUACGACCGCAAGGUUGAAACUCAAAGGAAUUGACGGGGGCCCGCACAAGCGGUGGAGCAUGUGGUUUAAUUCGAAGCAACGCGAAGAACCUUACCAGGUCUUGACAUCCUUUGACCACUCUAGAGAUAGAGCUUCCCCUUCGGGGGCAAAGUGACAGGUGGUGCAUGGUUGUCGUCAGCUCGUGUCGUGAGAUGUUGGGUUAAGUCCCGCAACGAGCGCAACCCUUAUUGUUAGUUGCCAUCAUUCAGUUGGGCACUCUAGCAAGACUGCCGGUGACAAACCGGAGGAAGGUGGGGAUGACGUCAAAUCAUCAUGCCCCUUAUGACCUGGGCUACACACGUGCUACAAUGGGAAGUACAACGAGUCGCGAAGUCGCGAGGCUAAGCUAAUCUCUUAAAGCUUCUCUCAGUUCGGAUUGCAGGCUGCAACUCGCCUGCAUGAAGCCGGAAUCGCUAGUAAUCGCGGAUCAGCACGCCGCGGUGAAUACGUUCCCGGGCCUUGUACACACCGCCCGUCACACCACGAGAGUUUGUAACACCCGAAGUCAGUGAGGUAACCUUUUGGAGCCAGCCGCCUAAGGUGGGAUAGAUA
rnacentral:rRNA from 1 species